AGAGUUUGAUUAUGACUCAGGAUAAACGCUGGCGGCGCACAUAAGACAUGCAAGUCGAACGGACUUAACUCAUUCUUUAGAUUGAGAGCGGUUAGUGGCGGACUGGUGAGUAACGCGUGAGCAACCUACCUAUUAGAGGGGAAUAACAGUGAGAAAUCAUUGCUAAUACCGCAUAAGCUGAUAGAAUCGCAUGAUUUAGUCAGAAAAGGAGCAAUCCGCUAAUAGAUGGGCUCGCGUCUGAUUAGCUAGUUGGUGGGGUAACGGCCUACCAAGGCGACGAUCAGUAGCCGGACUGAGAGGUUGAACGGCCACAUUGGGACUGAGAUACGGCCCAGACUCCUACGGGAGGCAGCAGUCGGGAAUAUUGCGCAACGGAGGAAACUCUGACGCAGUGACGCCGCGUAUAGGAAGAAGGUUUUCGGAUUGUAAACUAUUGUCGUUAGGGAAGAAGAAGUGACAGUACCUAAGGAGGAAGCUCCGGCUAACUAUGUGCCAGCCGCCGC
rnacentral:rRNA from 1 species